AGACUAGGAUUAGGAGUACAUCAACUCCUAGAACUGUUUACAAGUUGGAGUGGAGGCAAGGAAUAUAAAUACUCCGUGCAAUACAGUAAAGGAUUGUGCCGAUCCAAUCAAGUGCGAGUGUCGUAUAAAUUUGUGUUUUUGCCAUCCUGCUAUGCCAGACUUCAUCACCAAUACUGCAAACAAGAAUAUUCAAGUAUAAAGAGAUGCAACCAAAAAACAAAACAAUAACUUAUAUGCUAAGAAUGUAGCAAAUGAAACAAAUCUUGAAUAAAUCGUAUCAUAAGAAGACAUUGUCUUUCUCAGAUGUUGAUAUGAAUAUAAUAAAUUAGUUUCAUAACGAAUGACCCAAAA